AUCAACUGACAGGAGAAAGGAAAGAAGAAAGAGGGAUGACACUUAUUCUUCAGGGAGACAGAUGUGGUGUGUAAUUCACUUCUAACAUCUCAGGAAGAAAUCUGGAAACAAAGAGGAGCAACAGUGAUCAUAUUUAAGGGUGGAACUGGAAGACGAGGAAGAGUCGCCUGGACGCAGGUGCCCUGUCACAUUUCGGGAGGGAGCCCGUGGACUGAGGGAAUACUGUGCCGUAGUGAGCAGCAGCAGCCGACACAGUGUAAUAAAAAGAGGCCCAGCUAAAGAGGACCAGCCCAGGAGAAGACUGGACCCAGAACGAUUAUUUCGCUGUCAUAACAGACUUAACUAAAGUGGUUAAAAUUGCCUGUCGUUGCUUAGCGAUCAUUAAGAGGGAUGAGAGAAGGAAGCUGAUGUUCAUGACUACCCUCCACAUUGUAGUAAGCCACCCGUGUGUUCCUGUCCUAUGUCAGACAUCAUUUUGUAACCCUGAG
ensembl:lncRNA